rnacentral:rRNA from 1 species
UACGUAGGGGGCAAGCGUUGUCCGGAUUUAUUGGGCGUAAAGAGCGUGUAGGCGGCCAGGUAGGUCCGUUGUGAAAACUGGAGGCUCAACCUUCAGAGGUCGACCGAAACCAUCUGGCUAGAGUCCGGGAGAGGAGAGUGGAAUUCCUGGUGUAGCGGUGAAAUGCGCAGAUAUCAGGAAGAACACCCGUGGCGAAAGCGGCUCUCUGGAACGGUACUGACGCUGAGACGCGAAAGCGUGGGGAGCGAACAGG